ACCUGCAAGUCGAGCGGAUGAGAGCAGCUUGGUCCUCGAUUCGGCGGCGGACGGGGGAGUUAAGCCUACGAGUCUGCCUAGUAAUGGGGGACAACGUUUCGAAAGGAACGCUAAUACCGCAUACGUCCUACUGGAGAAAGUGGGGGAUCUUCGGACCUCACGCUAUUAGAUGAGCCUAGGUCGGAUUAGCUAGUUGGUAGGGUAAAGGCCUACCAAGGCGACGAUCCGUAACUGGUCUGAGAGGAUGAUCAAUCACACUGGAACUGACACACGGUCCAGACUCCUACGGGAGGCAGCAGUGGGGAAUAUUGGACAAUGGGCGAAAGCCUGAUCCAGCCAUGCCGCGUGUGUGAAGAAGGCCCUCGGGUCGUAAAGCACUUUAAUUUGGGAGGAAGGGCUUACAGCGAAUACCUGUGAGUUUUGACGUUACCGACAGAAUAAGCACCGGCUAACUUCGUGCCAGCAGCCGCGGUAAU
rnacentral:rRNA from 1 species